CUUGAAGUCAAAACAUACACUUUUGUAAUUUGACAAGAAAAAAAAAAAGCGGAGAAAAAAAAGAGAACGUGCUUAAGAAAGAAGUCGCCGCCGUAUAAAUGGUGGUUGAGUGUCGAAGGCCAUGGAUGCUAUAGUCUACAUUGAUCAAGAAAAUGGCACACUCGCUGCUCCAUCCAUAAAAGCUCGCCAGAGGCUUCACUCUGCUCCUGAGCAUCUCCUAAAAACUCCACUGAAGACAUGGCUUGGCGCUCCUGCACAGUCAAGCCGCAAAGCUUUGGGAACAGUUAAUAAGAUUGUAGUCACUCCAGCAGUCACUCAUAAAGUUGAUAUGCCGAAUAUACCCCUUGCGGUCCAGCAAUGUAAAGUGGCUCCUCAGCCUGUUGGUGAGGACUACCCAGAGAUUGAGAAGUGCUUCCCGUAUGACCCGAGUGGUAUGUCCCUUUCAGAAUUGAAAUUUGAACAAUUCAAGGAAGUCACAAGCAUGAAUGACUCUAAAGGGUUUUUAAUCUACGUACACUAGCAACCACUGUAUUGCACAGUUUCUGCAUUUUCAGGCUAAAUGUAUGUCAAUAUUUGAGUCCUAACAUUUCUACCAUCUGACAUCCUGAUGUUUUAGAUGAUAAAUGCAUAAUGUUCUCUUGGUUCCUGUGUUUUUGGCAGUUCUCACUAACUGGUGAUGUACUAUUCAUAAAUUUGGUGUUUACUAUACUGUGUUUGAUUAAGGACCAAUGUUUUUUAAAGUUCAUUUGAUGAUUCUUGCGUGAUGUAUCCAGUGCUGUGAAGAAAUAUUUCACUUGUUUCCUGAUUUCUUCUGUCUUUUAGUAUCUCCUACUAAAUAGUUCUAGAUCUUCAAAUGAAAUGCAGUAUAAAACAAAAGCAACCUGAUUAAACACAAUACAGAUUUAAUUAUUUUUUUAAAAAAAUUUUAUUGAAGCAAAAAGCUAUCAAACACGUAUCACAAAUGUGAAAAACUAAUUGCUCCCUUAAACCUAAAAUCUGGCUGUGCCACUUUUAGCAGCAAUAACUGCAACCAAAUGCUUCUGAUGGAUCAGACUUUCAGAGUGCUGUGGUGGAAUUUUGGCUCACUAAAUGCUUUAGUUCCUGCACACUGGAGGGUUUUUGAACAUGAACUGUAUGUUUAAGGUCCUGUCACAGCAUCUCAAUUGGUUCUAGUCAGGACUUUGACUAGGCCAUUCCAAAACUAUUAAUGGCUCAAAGUUAAAUUAGAGAUGGACUCACUCCUGUUCUUUGGAUCACUGUCUUGCUGCAUAAUCCAGUUGUGCCUGAGUUUCAACUUGCAGACUGAAGACCAGACAUUCUCCUUUAAGAUUUUCUGGUAGAGAUCAGAAAUCAUGUUUCCCCUCAAUCACUGCAAGUUGCCCAGGUCCUGAAGCAGCAAAGCAUCCCCACACCAUCACACUAGCACCACCAUGCUUGACUAAAGGUAUGAUCUUCUUUUCGUGGAAUUCUGUGUUUGGUUUAUGCCAGAUUUAACAAGACCCCUGUCUUUCAAACAGUUCCACUUUCAACUCCUCAAACCACAGAAUAUUCUCCCAAUGGGUUUGAAGAUCAGUGUGUGUUUAGGCAAAUUUCAGACAAGCCUUAAUGUUCUUUUGGGUUAGCAGUGGUUUUCACCUCUCCACACUUCCAUGGAUGCCAUUUUUUGCCUAUUGUCUUUCUGACAGUGGAGUCAUGAACAAUAACCUUUUAUUGCUGCAAGAGAGACCUAUAGUUCCAUUGAUGUCCUUGGUUCUUUUCUGACUUCCUGGAUGAGUAGUUGCAGUGCUCUUGGAGGAAUUCUGUAAGGUUAGCCACUUCUGGGAAGGUUCACUACUGUGCUGUUUCCAUUUGUAGAUAAUGGCUCUCACUGUGGUUCUUGGGAGUCCCAUCAACUUCAUUAUUUCUGGAAUUUUUCAAUUUUGGUAGUUAUUGGACUUUGAAAUAUACUCUGUACCUCAAGAAGUCUUCCUCAGCCAGUUUUCACUGGCUGGUUUGGGAAAACAGGAGUGGCCUCUAAAUGUGCUCGAAGAGGAUUUUAGUAUGAUUCAAUCAUGUUUGCCACUGUCUCCCCUCAAGAUGCCUUCAGCACAUUGUAGAGAUGACCUGGAAGCAUUCCUAGACACAAUCAGUGAGCUGACUGUGGAUUUACCAUCUGAGUGUGACUCAUGAUGCUGAAAUAUUACACUUUCUUUAUACUAAACUUAAUUUUGUAAUAAAGUUUUCUUUUUACAAA